rnacentral:tRNA from 1 species
GCCUGGGUGGCUCAGUCGGUUGAGCAACUGACUUCGGCUCAGGUCAUGAUCUCAUGGUUUGUGAGUUCAAGCCCCAUGUUGGGCU